CUGCCCACUGAUAAAAAUUAAAGGGCCGCAGUAUUUUGACUGUGCGAAGGUAGCAUAAUCACUAGUCUUUUAAUUGGAGGCUUGUAUGAAUGGUUGAAUGAGAUAUAUACUGUCUUUUUUAAAAUUAUAUAGAAUUUUAUUUUUUAAUUAAAAAGUUAAAAUAAAAUUAAAGGACGAGAAGACCCUAUAGAUCUUUAUUUUUGUUAUUUAUAAAUUAAAAAGAAUUUUAAAAUUUAUAAUUUAAUAAAAAAUUUUAUUGGGGUGAUAUUAAAAUUUAAAAAACUUUUAAAAUUUAUUAACAUAAAUAUAUGAAUAAAUGAUCCAGUUUUAUUGAUUAAAAAAUUAAGUUACCUUAGGGAUA
rnacentral:rRNA from 1 species